rnacentral:rRNA from 1 species
CCUACGGGGUGCUGCAGUGGGGAAUAUUGCACAAUGGGGGGAACCCUGAUGCAGCGACGCCGCGUGAGUGAAGAAGUAUUUCGGUAUGUAAAGCUCUGUCAGCAGGGAAGAAGAAUGACGGUACCUGACUAAGAAGCCCCGGCUAACUACGUGCCAGCAGCCGCGGUAAUACGUAGGGGGCAAGCGUUAUCCGGAUUUACUGGGUGUAAAGGGAGCGUAGGCGGUUUAGCAAGUCAGAAGUGAAAGCCCGGGGCUCAACUCCGGGACUGCUUUUGAAACUGUCGGACUAGAGACGGCGAGAAGUACGCGGAAUGCGCGGUGUAGCGGUGAAAUGCAUAGAUAUCGCGCAGAACACCGGUUGCGAAGGCAGCGUACCGGCGCCGGACUGACGCUGAGGCACGAAAGCGUGGGUAUCGAACAGGAUUAGAUACCCCAGUAGUC